rnacentral:rRNA from 1 species
AUACGUAGGUGACAAGCGUUAUCCGGAUUUACUGGGCGUAAAGGGCGUGUAGGCGGUCUUGCAAGUCAGAAGUGAAAUUCCUGAGCUCAACUCGGGCGCUGCUUCUGAAACUGCAGGACUUGAGUGCUGGAGGGGAUAGCGGAAUUCCUAGUGGAGCGGUAAAAUGCGCAGAUAUUAGGAAGAACACCGGUGGCGAAGGCGGCUAUCUGGACAGUAACUGACGGUGAGGCGCGAAAGCGUGGGGAGCAAACAGGAUUAGAUACCCUGGUAGUCCACGCUUUAAACGAUGAUUACUAGGUGUAGGGGGUAUCGACUCCCUCUGUGCCGCAGUUAACGCAGUAAGUAAUCCACCUGGGGAGUACGGUCGCAAGAUUAAAACUCAAAUGAAUUGACGGGG